rnacentral:rRNA from 1 species
GAACGCUGGCGGCGUGCUUAACACAUGCAAGUCGAACGGAAAGGCCCUGCUUUUGUGGGGUGCUCGAGUGGCGAACGGGUGAGUAACACGUGAGUAACCUGCCCUUGACUUUGGGAUAACUUCAGGAAACUGGGGCUAAUACCGGAUAGGAGCUCCUGCUGCAUGGUGGGGGUUGGAAAGUUUCGGCGGUUGGGGAUGGACUCGCGGCUUAUCAGCUUGUUGGUGGGGUAGUGGCUUACCAAGGCUUUGACGGGUAGCCGGCCUGAGAGGGUGACCGGCCACAUUGGGACUGAGAUACGGCCCAGACUCCUACGGGAGGCAGCAGUGGGGAAUAUUGCACAAUGGGCGGAAGCCUGAUGCAGCAACGCCGCGUGCGGGAUGACGGCCUUCGGGUUGUAAACCGCUUUCGCCUGUGACGAAGCGUGAGUGACGGUAAUGGGUAAAGAAGCACCGGCUAACUACGUGCCAGCAGCCGCGGUGAUACGUAGGGUGCGAGCGUUGUCCGGAUUUAUUGGGCGUAAAGGGCUCGUAGGUGGUUGAUCGCGUCGGAAGUGUAAUCUUGGGGCUUAACCCUGAGCGUGCUUUCGAUACGGGUUGACUUGAGGAAGGUAGGGGAGAAUGGAAUUCCUGGUGGAGCGGUGGAAUGCGCAGAUAUCAGGAGGAACACCAGUGGCGAAGGCGGUUCUCUGGGCCUUUCCUGACGCUGAGGAGCGAAAGCGUGGGGAGCGAACAGGCUUAGAUACCCUGGUAGUCCACGCUGUAAACGGUGGGUACUAGGUGUGGGGUCCAUUCCACGGGUUCCGUGCCGUAGCUAACGCUUUAAGUACCCCGCCUGGGGAGUACGGCCGCAAGGCUAAAACUCAAAGGAAUUGACGGGGCCCCGCACAAGCGGCGGAGCAUGCGGAUUAAUUCGAUGCAACGCGUAGAACCUUACCUGGGUUUGACAUGGAUCGGGAGUGCUCAGAGAUGGGUGUGCCUCUUUUGGGGUCGGUUCACAGGUGGUGCAUGCCUGUCGUCAGCUCGUGUCGUGAGAUGUUGGGUUAAGUCCCGCAACGAGCGCAACCCUUGUUCACUGUUGCCAGCACGUUAUGGUGGGGACUCAGUGGAGACCGCCGGGGUCAACUCGGAGGAAGGUGGGGAUGACGUCAAGUCCUCAUGCCCCUUAUGUCCAGGGCUUCACGCAUGCUACAAUGGCUGGUACAGAGAGUGGCGAGCCUGUGAGGGUGAGCGAAUCUCGGAAAGCCGGUCUCAGUUCGGAUUGGGGUCUGCAACUCGACCUCAUGAAGUCGGAGUCGCUAGUAAUCGCAGAUCAGCAACGCUGCGGUGAAUACGUUCCCGGGGCUUGUACACACCGCCCGUCAAGUCAUGAAAGUUGGUAACACCCGAAGCCGGUGGCCUAACCGUUGUGGGGGAGCCGUCGAAGGUGGGACUGGUGAUUAGGACUA